GACAAAGCUCAAAAAUAUAUAUAUAUAUUUUUGUUGCUCCUAGCUUCGCUAGAUUCCGCUUGACACCAAUCCUAGGUGCAUAGUGUCUACGUGCUGCCGCUUUGCGGCCAACGGCAUUUUGCUGUUGGAUGCUAAUUCGUUGGCAUCAGUAAUUGUGGCACUUUGUCACUCUUUCUUUAUUACUUUGAGUUUGUUUGUUGUGUAGUCGUUUGUUAAACAGCGUUGGACUACUGUAGGGUUAAGUAUUACCGGUCGCACCACCCGUCAGUGGACAGAACUA
rfam:Common-moorhen coronavirus HKT21, complete genome